rnacentral:rRNA from 1 species
GCCCAGACUCCUACGGGAGGCAGCAGUGGGGAAUAUUGCACAAUGGGCGGAAGCCUGAUGCAGCGACGCCGCGUGAGGGAUGAAGGCCUUCGGGUUGUAAACCUCUUUCAGCAGGGACGAAGCGUGAGUGACGGUACCUGCAGAAGAAGCACCGGCUAACUACG